rnacentral:rRNA from 1 species
AUUGAACGCUGGCGGCAUGCUUUACACAUGCAAGUCGAACGAGUGGCGCACGGGUGAGUAAUACAUCGGAACGUGUCCUAUCGUGGGGGAUAACUGAUCGAAAGAUCAGCUAAUACCGCAUACGAUUGGAGCGGCCGAUGCCCGAUUAGCUAGUUGGUGAGGUAAAGGCUCACCAAGGCGACGAUCGGUAGCUGGUCUGAGAGGACGAUCAGCCACACUGGGACUGAGACACGGCCCAGACUCCUACGGGAGGCAGCAGUGGGGAAUAUUGGACAAUGGGGGCAAGCCUGAUCCAGCCAUGCCGCGUGUAUGAUGAAGGUCUUAGGAUUGUAAACUGCUUUCAGCAGGGAAGCGGUACCGGAAGAAGAAGCACCGGCUAACUACGUGCCAGCAGCCGCGGUAAUAC